GAUGAACGCUAGCGGCAGGCUUAACACAUGCAAGUCGAGGGGCAGCAUGAAGGUUAGCAAUAACCUUUGAUGGCGACCGGCGCAAGGGUGCGUAACGCGUGAGCAACUUGCCCGUUUCAGGGGGAUAACCGGUGGAAACGCCGACUAAUACCCCAUGGCAUCAUUAGGAGGCAUCUCCUUCUGAUUAAAGAAUUUCGGAAACGGAUAGGCUCGCGUGACAUUAGCUAGACGGCGGGGUAACGGCCCACCGUGGCGACGAUGUCUAGGGGUUCUGAGAGGAAGGUCCCCCACACUGGAACUGAGACACGGUCCAGACUCCUACGGGAGGCAGCAGUGAGGAAUAUUGGUCAAUGGUCUGACGACUGAACCAGCCAUGCCGCGUGAAGGUCACGGCCCUAUGGGUCUUAAACUUCUUUUGCAAGGGAGCAAUAAGUUCUACGUGUAGACUGAUGAGAGUACCUUACGAAUAAGCAUCGGCUAACUCCGUGCCAGCAGCC
rnacentral:rRNA from 1 species